AUAACUCUUCAGAUUCAUCUCAUUCCAAAAUGUAGAAUUAACCGCCUAUCAACCAUCAAGUCAUUCGCUCUGGCAUGAACUUCAUUACUCCAGCUCUGGAUGUCAUUGUCUUUAUUCUCUGUAUAGCAUCUUAGAUUCUCUACUUAGUCAAUGUACAAGCCAUUGACAACAAUGAAUUAUAUAUAAAAACAUAAUUUUGCUUUGACAAUUACCUGUAGGAUAACGUUUCAGCAUGGAUCUUUAUAGUUCCUUCUUUGGGUAUUUUAAUUCACCUUACCUGAACAAGGAGGAAAUAAAGAAUGCCGGUAACAUUAUCAAACAAGAGAGUACAAAUGGUCACAAGCAGUGUCGAAUCAAAAUUGAGAGUAAAACUUCAGUGUCGGUUUUCAUCUCGCCAACAGCUUCAAUUACUUUCUUAGUACCAUCUGCAUUCUUUUCUGCUUAUACAGAGGGAGAUAGUUAGCUUGCAUUCUUUUCUGCUUAUACAGAGGGAGAUAGUUAGCCUUCCUUGAGUCAUCCUGAGUGUCCUACUCAAAGCCAAUUCUCCAAGGGUUGGUUUUGCAAUUCUUCUUACCCUUCCAUUGAGAUUUCUGAAGUUGUAUCAACUUUCUCUCCAAAGAAGAGCAAUAUUGGACUUUCAAUAGCUUCACAGCAUCACAAGGACCUAUGCAGACACUAGAGCAAACAGGAGGUGAAAGGAAAUAAAGGAAGGAACAAAAAGAACAAGACAUGCUAGGUGACAACUACAAAAUCCCAAAAUUCUGAGUAGCCAAAGAAUUUGUACAAAAUCCCAAAAUUCCGGCAAAUUGAAUUAAGAAAUUGUUUGUUAUCUAUCUACCAAUAAUAAUUGUUGACAAAAUCUGAAGUUACUAUCAUCAUUUGAAUAAGUACUCAGAACUGAACAAAAUCUCUAAUUGGGAUGAUAGAUCACAAGUUUUGAAAGUCGCCGAUCAAAAUAAUAAUACUUACUUAAGGGGUCUAUUUCAAAAUAUGUAUAAUCGAGGGGUACUCAAAGAAAAAAAAAUAAAAACUGCAUCUGGUUUCAGUUAGUUUAUUUUUAAUUAACUUUACCUGCCCAUAGUCAAGUGUAUUCAUAUGGACUAAAGCACUGUAGGGUCAUGGACAAUAAUCUACACAAAUUAAUUCCAGUGCCAUAAUAAUAAUGGAUGCAAGGAUUGGAGGAUUAGUUGACACCAUGUGCCAUAGGGGAUUAAUUAAAUGGUAAUGUGUUCCACCUAGCAAGGAUUAAAUGAAAAUGCGCUGUAACGCGUGUCUCGCAGCAUGUGGAGGCCGGCUUCUGUUUCUGUAGUUUCUACUGUUGUUUAUUCUUCUUUUUUCUCAGCCUCUUUAUUCUUCUUCUAUUUUUACUAUUGCUGGUUUUCCGUCCUGUUGAAAGUGUUGAUUAUUAAUGAGCGAUGAUGACAAACAAAAGUGAAGGAACCCAAAUGGUUCUCCAAUUUUGAUGGCCAAAUGGCGACUCUCACUGCAGUCUAAGAAGUAUUUUCCUGUGCCCCCAUUGAGAGCAAUAUGAAGGACUACAUAACAUGCAGUAGUUGCUCCCUAGAAAAGUAUAUCACAUUCUUUAUGCUUUCUAGGCUGACCAAUUAUGCCAUUUUUUCAAAUUUCUUAACAACAAAUGCCCACUAUUUAUUUUGUUCUGUGUGCUUCUAUUUUUUUUUUAAAAAAAAAUAGCAUCUAACAUAAUACAUGUUUUUUUUAUCCCUUCUUUGCCAUAAUGUAUGUAGCUAUUAUUCCUUAAAUAUUGUUCGUUGAGGCAAUACUUUGUAUCUAAACUCAUUUAACAAUAAAAACUAUUUUUGACAGUAUUUGGUAUUUUAUUUUUAUUUAUUGUUUAACUACUAUUUCUGCGGCUACUACUAUGCUUCUUUUGCAUUAGUUUCUGCUUCAGUUUCUUUUAUUCUUUUUCGUUUCUAAUCCACACGGCUGUUUCUGUUGUUCAAUCUGUUGAAUUGUUCAGUGUUUAA
rnacentral:lncRNA from 1 species